UGAGGAAUAUUGGUCAAUGGGCUGAGGCCUGAACCAGCCAAGUCGCGCGAGGGAAGACGGUCCUAUGGAUUGUAAACCUCUUUUGUCGGGGAGCAACGACGUCACGAGUGACGGAAGUGAGAGUACCCGAAGAAAAAGCAUCGGCUAACUCCGUGCCAGCAGCCGCGGUAAUACGGAGGAUGCGAGCGUUAUCCGGAUUUAUUGGGUUUAAACGGUGCGUAGGCGGACUGUUAAGUCAGCGGUAAAAAUUCGGGGCCCAACCCCGUCAUGCCGUUGAAACUGGCGGACUAGAGUGGGCGAGAAGUAUGCGGAAUGCGAGGUGUAGCGGUGAAAUGCAUAGAUAUCACGCAGAACUCCGAUUGCGAAGGCAGCAUACCGGCGCCCGACUGACGCUGAGGCACGAAAGCGUGGGGAUCGAACAGGAUUAGAUACC
rnacentral:rRNA from 1 species